UUGCAUAACAGCUCAAGUUAGUUUAAAACCCCAACAAUAUGAGGCUGGUAAAAAUCUAUCUGCGUUACUAUCCACCAGGCAUCGCACUAAACUAUCGAAAACGUAACAUUGAAGAAACGAAAAUGAUUGAUCUCUUCGAUCUAACUCCAAGCUGCGACCUGCAGGUGGUCACCAAGAAGAUCGCCUCCACCGAACCCCUCAUCACGCAGGACAUCUUCCCCCAGGUGAUAGAAAUCCUGGAGAAGCUCCAGAAAAAGCUCAAGGAACCGGUCAAGACCAAGUUCUACCUCUUCAAAACGCUCCAAACGCACAUUCUUCCGCUGACGAACGUGUCCUUCGACAAAUCGGGCAAGAAAUGCAUCACAGGCUCGUACGACAGAACGUGUCGCAUUUGGAACGUUGAAAGCGGUGAUGAGGAAAAGGUGCUCAAAGGUCACGAAAACGUUGUGUUUUCCGUCGCUUACAAUUACCCCAAAUGUGAUCGCAUCCUGACCGGAUCGUUCGACAAGACGGCCAAAAUCUGGAAUCCCACCUCUGCCAACUGCCUGAACACGCUAUGGGGCCACACCGCAGAAAUUGUGGCAGCAGAGUUCAACCCGAACCAGGGCGAACAGGUCGUGACCUGCAGCAUGGACAAUACGGCACGGGUGUUCCACGCGGAAACGGCCCAGGAGGUGCACCUGUUUGGGGAUCACCGAGCGGAGGUGAUUUCGGCACGAUUCAACAAGGAUGGCAACCUGCUGCUGACCGCUUCGUUUGACCAGACGGCCAUCGUUUGGGACAUGCGGAUGAAGGAGCAUGCCGUAGUCAUCCGAGGUCACGAGGCAGAACUAAGCAAUGCGAUUUGGAACUUUCAGUGCUCGUUGAUUGCUACCAGUUCCUUGGACAAAACGGCCAAGCUUUGGGACGUUCGAAAGCUCGACUACUGCCAGGCGGUUGCAAGCCACAAGGAUGAGGUGCUCGAUGUGGCCUUCAACUGUACCGGGUCACGGCUGGCCACCGGGAGUUCCGACUGUACCGCCAAAGUGUGGGACGUUACCGGAAACUUUGAACUGGUUACCAUAAUGGCCGGUCAUACGGACGAAGUGUCCAAGGUGACGUUUAGUCCCCCAGGAGGCCUUCUUCUGACGGCUUCAGCGGACAAAACCGCUCGAAUCUGGAACUCGGCCACGGGAAUCUGUACCCAGACGCUAGCGGGUCACGACGGGGAGGUAUUUUCCUGUUCGUUCAAUUACAGUGGAGAUGCCAUCAUCACCGCGUCCAAGGACAACUCCUGCAAGAUAUGGAGAUGAUACGACUGGUUCUCGGGCCAAGCCUUUAAAACAGAGAAAGCUAAACCUAUCAAGAAGCACAGUGUGGUGUGUAGCAGCAGACAGGCUGAACACUGGACCAAAUAUAUGCUUAGAUAUUGAGCGCUCCGUUGCUCCUCGAAAACGGGACCGAUUCAUCUCAUCAAACUUAUUUUUGUGUCGACGUGGUCCAAUUCAUUCAACCGUUUUACGCGAAGCCGGGUUUCUCUGCCGGAGCCCGCAAGUAAUUGGUAGCUAGAAAAGGGGGCGCUUUUCUCUCGCACAGGUUUGAAAGAAACAUUAGCCAGUAAUAUAUUACUGCGGCAAAAAUGCAUUAAAUGGGAAUCAACACGCCAGUAGAUUUAUAAUAACACUGAAAUUGUUUUUUUGUAUUGAAAGUGGAGGCUUAGCUCAACAUUGUUUAUAGAAAUUUAAAAAUAUAAAAGAGUGUUCAAGUUUUCAAUUAAGUGUUAGGGGGAAAAAGUGUUUAAAAUUCGCUCCACAUUACAGAGUUCUAUGAAAAGAUCUUUAUAAAAGAAAAAAAAGAAUUCGGAUUACUUCGUUAAUGAUUAUGUGUGCUUGUUAAAAAAAUAUCACUGAAACUUCGUAUAUGGUUGAUAUCAAACAAAUAUUUAAAAAGCCUUAUAUUUUAAAUCGUCAAUCUAAUUGAAAAAAUAUUAAGAUGUACUUUGCUAUAGAGUUUUCUUCAGUUGCAAUAAAUCAGUUUAUGAUUAAUAACAAUGUUGCCAUGAAUAAACUGAUUGAUAUUUUUUGUAGUGUUUGUUCAAAUUAUGAUGAAUAUUCUAGGGAAUUUAGUAUUGAGAAUAUUAAAAAUAGACUUCUGUGCAGUAGAUGAUAAAUAUGCCAAAACAUAAGAGGUUAUUAUAAGAUUAAUUUAUUUACAGAAAGUUUAAUUAGAAAAAUACCUCGCAAUCUAUAAAACUUAAAAUAAUACGGCAUAUUUGAAAGAAUCAGUUUUGGAUAAAUUUCAUAAAAAGUAGACUUUGAGUUAAAAUAAAUUUCUGACUUAGAGCUUAUACUGAAUGGAUCGUUAUCAAUUCUGAACACUUCACUGUA